AGUGAACGCUGGCGGUAGGCCUAACACAUGCGAGUCGAACGGCAGCACAGUAAGAGCUUGCUCUUACGGGUGGCGAGUGGCGGACGGGUGAGGAAUACAUCGGAAUCUACUUUUUCGUGGGGGAUAACGUAGGGAAACUUACGCUAAUACCGCAUACGACCUACGGGUGAAAGCAGGGGAUCUUCGGACCUUGCGCGAUUGAAUGAGCCGAUGUCGGAUUAGCUAGUUGGCGGGGUAAAGGCCCACCAAGGCGACGAUCCGUAGCUGGUCUGAGAGGAUGAUCAGCCCAACUGGGACUGGGACACGGUCCAGGCUCCUACGGGAGGCAACAGUGGGGAAUAUUGGACAAUGGGCGCAAGCCUGAUCCAGCCAUACCGCGUGGGUGAAGAAGGCCUUCGGGUUGUAAAGCCCUUUUGUUGGGAAAGAAAAGCAGCAGGUUAAUACCCCGCUGUUCUGACGGUACCCAAAGAAUAAGCACCGGCUAACUUCGUG
rnacentral:rRNA from 1 species